AUUGAACGCUGGCGGCAUGCUUUACACAUGCAAGCCGAACGGCAGCGCGGGCUUCGGCCUGGCGGCGAGUGGCGAACGGGUGAGUAAUGCAUCGGAACGUGCCCAGUAGUGGGGGAUAGCCCGGCGAAAGCCGGAUUAAUACCGCAUACGACCUGAGGGUGAAAGCGGGGGACCGAAAGGCCUCGCGCUAUUGGAGCGGCCGGUGUCGGAUUAGCUAGUUGGUGGGGUAAAGGCUUACCAAGGCGACGAUCCGUAGCUGGUCUGAGAGGACGACCAGCCACACUGGGACUGAGACACGGCCCAGACUCCUACGGGAGGCAGCAGUGGGGAAUUUUGGACAAUGGGGGCAACCCUGAUCCAGCCAUGCCGCGUGCGGGAAGAAGGCCUUCGGGUUGUAAACCGCUUUUGUUCGGGAAGAAAUCCUCUGGGCUAAUACCCCGGGGGGAUGACGGUACCGGAAGAAUAAGCACCGGCUAACUACGUG
rnacentral:rRNA from 1 species